UUUACAUUGCUUUAUUUCUGUUGUUGUUGUUGGUAUUGUUCAGUUCACACAAAAAAAGGUACUUCAAGUCAUCAUAUCCUUGCAUUUAACCAAGUGAAAGAGUCAUCUUGAAAGAAAACAUUUUACAAACUAGACACAUACCCUGUUUAUUUUCUCUGAAAAAUGCACUCCAUAAAGCAAGUCCAUUUUUUAAACUUUUCCCAAUAUUAUACAAAAAUAUUCUUAUGCAAGUAAUAAAUGUAUCUUUAAACAUCCAACUUUUUUGAAAUUUAAAGCAGUCACACCAAAAGUUAUCAUUGUUAACUUUUAAUCUAAACAUAGAACACCUUGUGCUUAUAUAAACUGCUGUUAUCAUGUGCUCAUAUACUCUUUACAUGGAUCUGGCAAAUAUACUCUGCCAUUAUCCAUUAAAUUAUGUAAAAAAGUAUAAUCAGUGCAGAACUUGCCUAUUUUUAAACAAUGUUCUUUAACCAUCCUCAUCUAUAUUUGUUAUAUAUAAUUUCUUUUUGGAAAAAAUUUUAAGGCAAGUGCAAUCAAAAUUACAAAAUCACUAUAUCUAUUGCUAACAUAUGCAGCAUUCAUAGUGAGUGAGUGAUCUCCUUCCUUUGUUAAAAUGAAAGUACAAAAUGCUAAGUAGGUUAUACUUACUAGAGCCGAUUAUGUAGUCUUACCUAUUAAGUAAUUAAGUCUUUAGAGAUAACACAAAAGUAUACUUCUUUAAAGAUCUUUUAAGAUAUCAACACAAAUGCUAUACCAGCAGCAAUCUGCUAUCCCCUUUCUGUAAUUUGUUGUUGCAUGUCCAGUUUUCUCAUGAAAAUACGCAGCAAGUUAUUC
rnacentral:lncRNA from 1 species